UCGGCAAGGGAGGGAACCCGUGAGAGCAAGUGGGAGAAUUAUAUCAAAGUAUAAUGAUAUCUGUAUGAAAAUGUCACAAGAAAACUUACUUCAUUGCAUACUAACUUAAAAACAAUACAAAUUACGUUAAAUAAACACCCUAAAGGAGCGGCCGGGUAGCGGGUCAGAAAUGCCAGCGUUCGGGAGGAAGAGGCAGAGCGAUCGCUCGUUUCAAGGCGUGAUCUCAACAACCAAAGCUUGGAGAUUACUCAUGUCCCAGAGAUUAUGCGAAGGAAUCUAAGAGCUGCCUCCUGGUGACAGGGCCUGUGGCUCCGUGUUCCGGUCACUGCUCAUGUGCAGACUAGACAUAUAGAUCUCUUAGUGGGCCCUGCGCUAAGAACCAAUAUAAAAGCGGCCAUUCGCCCCUCACAAUGCAGUCGAGAGCAGAUAUUAAUUAAGUCUUGGAGUGUCUGGUCAGAUGAGGCUGUGCAAGCGACACCUAACACCAGAGAAAGAGCCGGGCACAGGGGAGUUCUAGGCUGCUGCUGCAAGGAACCCUUGAUUCUGCACCUCGGCUGGGUCUUUGUACAGCAAACACAUCGCUGAGUGUAAGGUUCAGCCGCCCCUGCUGUCCAGAGGACCCUACAGGACCCUGAAAACCACAUCAACCCAACCCGCUGUCUAGAGCUACCAAGAUCCUUUCCGAAAGCUGUCUGGAAGCCUCACCUGGGCAGAAUUUUCCUGUUGUCUGUAGUUCCUUUUACGCACGUUCCAUUACAAAAAUCGUGUUUGCUGAAAACAUAUCUUCUGCUCACUUAAAGAAUAAUUAUGGAAAGAAGCUCGAAAAGGGGGACCAGCGGGAAACAGGUAAGUGUAACUCAGCCCCCCUCAUCAAAGACAGACAGAAACCGUUACGGCAGCCACAAACAGUCAAAAUGCAAAGAACUGGCUACGACGUGCCGAACCCCGAGAAAUGCAUUUAUACCACAUAACCCCUUCGCCAAAGAUACAGGAACGUUGUGGAGAGGGAGCGGAAAUAUGACGAGAGCCAGAGGACCCGGGAGUUUGCUGAAAUCUAGAUUUGACAGGGAAACUACAUCCAUGGAUUCUCAACAAUUUGACUGCCUGGACAAGACCUGAACAAUGACAACACCAGUUGACAUGCUGACAUGGAUGGGGGCUCUCCUCGAUGAAAGACUGUAAGGAAUUAAAGACGGGUGAGAGAAAUAGACUUCGUCUUCCCCACGGAUGAACCCCUAAUUGGUUAUCUAAUACCAAGUUGUCAGUCCUAAAAACAUAAAACAUAUUAGCAACACACUAAAUGAAUUCCAUAGGCUGUAUUUAUAUGUUUAUUCGUGUGAGUGUGCAUGUGCAAAACAAUAAUAAUUAAAGAGAAAGAGGUCAUGAAUUCGAAAGGGAGCUGGGACAAAAGAGGAUUUAGAAAGAAGAGGGGAAGGGGAAACUGAUGUAAUUAUAUCUUAAUUUUUAAAAUACAGUUUAACAUCAGGUAUUGGUGGCGCAUACCUUUAAUUGCAGCACUUGGGAGGCAAAGCCAGGCGAAUCUCAGAGUUUGAGGACAGUCUACAAAGCAUGUUCUAGGACAGCGAUGAGUGUUACACAGAGAAAUCCUGUCUUCAAAAACCAACCAAAUAAGUAAUAAAUAAAUAAAAACUGUUAAAAAAAAAGAUAGAAAAAAAUACUUGAAAAGUUAGAAAAAGGAGUAACCUAUCCGCUUUCGAAAGUAUGAUAGAAGGGAGGGAGGGAGACAGUGGUAAGAUCUAAUCAUGGUUCCCAAGGAAGAGAUUCAAAGCUUCCUGAUGCUCAGAGGAGAAUCUUCCUAGAUUUUAGGACAUCAUCUAAGAUCAUCUAAUUGGGCACCCAAAGACCUCUUUCCCAUUUAAUUUUCUUGUUCUACUGAGAAUAAGUACGGAGCAAACCAGGUGGUGGUGAACGCCUUUAAUGCCAACACUUGGCAGACAGAGGCAGGCAGAUCGCCAGAGCCACAGAGAGAAACCCUGUCCAAAAAAAAAAAAAAAAUUACAGAGUAAAAGCCCUGAAUGAAUGUGCCAUUUAAUGAAUUUUACAAGUUUAUAACCCCAUAUUGUUGUGAAAUGUUAAUUUAAGAUGUGUGAUUCAUUUGGGAGCUGGGUGGCAGGUCGAUCCCUCAAAAGAGGCAAAGAACAUAGAGUAAAACACUACCAACAACGUUGUAGGACUGUCAGUGACUUCAAACUCUCUCUCAGUUCAUACUUCCACAAGGUGGCCACAGUCAGGAACCUUUCCACCAUCUGUAGUGGCUGU